GUAACAAGAUGGCUGCCGAGAUGGUGGAGCUCCAUAAACUGAAGCUUGCUGAAUUAAAGCAAGAAUGUCUUGCUCGUGGUUUGGAGACCAAGGGACUAAAACAAGAUCUCAUCAACAGGCUCCAGGUAUAUCUUGAAGAGCAUGCCGAAGAGGAAGCGAAUGAAGAAGAUGUACUGGGAGAUGAAACAGAGGAAGAAGAGCCAAAACCCAUAGAAGUCCCUGUCAAAGAGGAAGAACCCCCUGAAAAAACUGUUGAUGUGGCAGCAGAGAAGAAAGUGGUGAAAAUUACAUCUGAAAUACCUCAGACUGAGAGAAUGCAGAAGAGGGCUGAAUGAUUCAAUGUACCUGUAAGCUUGGAGAGUAAGAAAGCUGCUUGGGCAGCAAGGUUUGGAAUUUCUUCAGUUCCAACAAAAGGUCUGUCAUCUGACACCAAACCUAUGGUUAACCUGAAUAAACUAAAGGAAAGAAUGCAAAGAUUUGGUUUGAAUGUCUCUUCGAUCUCCAGAAAGUCUGAAGAUGAUGGGAGACUGAAAAAGAAGAAGGAACGAUUUGGAAUUGUCACGAGUUCAGCUGGAACUGGAACCACAGAUACGGAGGCAAAGAAGAGGAAAAGAGCAGAAUGCUUUGGGAUUGCCUGAUGAAAAGUUCUUGAUGCUUUGUGUUCUCCAGUGGUUUCCAUUUCUCUGAUUCUUCUUGGUCACAUAUAUACCUAAAUGCACAGUCAUGUGCCUAUGUCCUGCCUCUCAAUAAGGGAGCAUGUACCUCAGGUACAUCCGUGAAUUGUUGCAGCAAUUUGACUUAUUGCUGUUCCAACUUUAAGAUUGUUGUGUUUUUGUUUUAUUUUGCUUGUUAAU